AUUUGAAUCAGCUGUGUAGUGCUAGGGCAAAAAAACAAAACGUGCACCACUUGGGGUCUUGGCUGCCCUGUGCAUACUGCUGCGCCAAACUCUGUUACCGCCGCCCGUACCCACUCCGCCGCAAGCUAUUCCAGGUUGUGAAAACCGGUCUGGCGUACAUGCAAACUUCAGUCCCCUGGCCAGCGGGACCUGAGGAGACGACUCUGCUAUGACCCCACACGCAAUUCAGGAUGUUGACAGAUGGCCUUGGGUUAUGCGUUUGAUUGGAUUGUAACAAUCAACACGUUAUCCCUGUGAAUCACAAGCAGUUGCCAUGGUGCAGGUGAGAGAGGUCAUGGGGCCAUGGGCAGUUCCAGGGUUGGGGUCAUUCUCUUCAGAUUUCGUCGUGUUCUCUCUGCUCUUCCUCCUCCUCUCCAUCAUCCUCGCCCUCUGCACUAACUGUAGAAGGCAUUCCUUUACGCUCCGGGAUGGUGGUGAGGAGGUGGACAGAACCCAGUCACAGCUGGUCAGAGUGAUUUCAGUCCCAGACCUGAGGACAGUGUCAUUGGUGUACCGGAUCAGCCUCCUGCUGAGCAGGAUGUCACCUGGUUGAAACCCUGGAGGAGCCACAGGGAGGCACCUGAUCAAGGUGAUUCUCCAAGUGCCUUGCAGAUUGCCAACAGAACCCCCAUGGUCAUGACGAUUAUAUCUCCUUCGCCUCCAGCAACCGUCGACAUUGGUGACCUGAGUGAUGUCCUGAACUUCACACCUGAGCUCCACUUUAUCCCAGCCCCCAUUGUCAUGGUGGAAGUCGACACCCCCCUUGAAUCUUUAUCCCCACCUGUCUAUUCAGAGGACACCCUAGAUGCCACAAUCGUGAGCAGUUUUGAACCUGUUGAUGUCCCCAUUGUGGAGGUCCCCAUCAUGAGCAGCCUUAAACCUGUUGCUGUCCCCAUCCUUGAACCUCUGGUUGUCCCCAUCGUGAGCAUUCUUGAACCUGUGGAAGUCCCCAAUGUGAAUGUCCACAUCGUGAGUAGUUUUGAAUCUGUGGAAGCCCCCAUCGUGGAUCUCCCCAUCAUGGAUGUCACCAUUGUGAACAGCCUUGAACCUCUGCAAGCCCCAAUUGUGGAUGCACCCAUCGUGAGCAGCCUUGAACCUGUUGAACAUGCAGAUGCCACUGUCAUGAAUGACCUUGAUAUCCUGAAUGCUCCAGUUGGCUUAGAGAACCUGGAUGCCCCAGUCAUCAACAGUCUUGACACACUGGUGCUGGACGCUCUUAUUGUAAACAGCCUUGAACCUGUGGACAUCCCUGUCAUCAAUGACCUUGACACUCCAGAUACCCCCAUCAUAAAUAUUCUUGACACCCUGGAGCUGGAUGCUCCCAUCAUAGAUGUCCCCAUUGUGGACAGCCUUGCACCUGUGGAAUUCCCCAUCAUGAAUGACAUUGACCUCCUGGAGAACCCUGCGGAGUUCAGCUCCAGCUUUAACCCUCAGCUUGAAGUAGAGGUUCAUGUGGAGGGUGAGGACCAGAACCAGGGGCUUUGUCUGUGUGUCCAACCUCAGCGUACCUAUGAGAUCAUUGGGGAGCCCAAUCCUGAUGAACCCUCUGGAAGUGGACCUGGCAACCCCAGGCUCUCAAACCAUAGCUGAACUGGUCCAUAACUCCACCACACAUUCUGACGAUGACACAACCACAGUCACCGAGCCAGCGGACCUGGAAAGCCCAGGCUAUGAUACUAUAGCUGAACUGGUCCAGGAUUCGAGUGCAACCACACUGCCUGACGAUGACCCUAUCACAACCACAGUCACAGAGCCAGGGGAUCAGAUAACCCCUGCGUAUGAAACCAUUGCUGAACUGGUCCAUAAAUUGAGCGCAACCACACUGCCUGACGAUGAGCCAAUAAGAACCACAGUCACAGAGCCAGGAGAAGGGCUUGACCUUACAAGCCCUCUCUCAGUGGCAGAGGAGGGUUUCUGUGACGGGGUGGAAUCCAAUGUACGCUAGAGUGAGAAAGAAGCUUAGUAAAAGUACCACCCCACCACCUGUGCUUCCAUCGGAGGACGAGGAACCGGAGGGAUUUUCACCUCCAUUACCAGAGAGAAGUGGAGAGAUGGAGGGAUGAUCAUUGUAGAAUAUCUCAUAAGACUUCAAAUGUGUGUUACGUCAUCAAUUAUAUUUAUAUAGACUCAACUGUGUCAUUUCUGGUGGAACAUGUCUCAGAUGAUGAAGAUAAGGGUUGUACCCAGUACAUAUCUUAUACGAUCUCAUAUGAGACGGGUAUCUCACUGUCCUAUCCUUCAUAUACACUAUUUCCAGUCCUUUCAUUAGCUUUGCAUUGAACUCCGUACAAUGCUAUGCUACAUAUUCCAUAAGGAAGGACCCUAAGCCCAGAGUAGAACUGGGUCACCUAACAUGUUCCAGAGUAGGCUUUAUGUUUGUAUUUACUAACACAUUACAGUGUGAAGUGGCAAUUACACAGUAAUAAAUCAUUGAGUUACAGGUUUCUUUGAGAUUCAUUCAACUUGGUCCACUUAAGAUUCUCUCCCUCUCUAGAAUUACAAACAUUAUACUUUAAUGACAAUAGUGGUGCAUUCUUAAUAAAUAAUGUAUAUCAACAAAUUAAAUGGACAACAUUAUGGGUGUGUCCGAAUACCCAUACUUAAAUAGAAGGCUUUUUGGGUAUGCAAAAAUGUUUUAUAGUAUGUGUCAUUUAGAAAAUGUAGUAUGCUUUAAGUGCAAGGAUGUCAUACUAAUUUUGGCUUUAAAUCAAGUAGAAUUUGCGCAUAGAGAAUGACAGAGGACUCCAGUGGCCAAAAACUUGUUUUAUCAUGGGCAUUGAGGACUUUCACCAUUUUGAAGUAGUUAACUGGAUGGGACUUACUAUGGGUUAAGGAAGGCUAAAAUAAUUCCAUCCAGGUCCAAGGAUAGAUCAGCCAAUGAAUUAUACUUGUGCACAAACAUUACAUAACUGUAGGGGCAGUAAAUCGCCAACCUUGGCUUUAUACCUGUUCAGACAACACACUCCGGAUGGCAGUAUGCAACCUUUCAGUUUGUUUACCAACUGUACUAAAAUGUACUACUUUAAAAUGGAGAUGUCCUCAAUGGUGCUGCCCAUGCUCUUACAGACGCCAUAAUGGGACAGAUACAUUGUUGUGUCCUCUAACUAGCUCUAUGAAUUUGCUGCACACUAUUGAGGAAGAUAAUUGUCUUUUCACACAAGUAUUUGACAACAGCUGAUAAUCAGAAUAGGGGACCCGCUCUACAAAAAUGUAUAAAUAGCAGGGAACAAACGCGUUUGAGCAUUAGAUGAUGCCUUUUCAGUAUGGCUGAGUGGUAUGUUGAUAUUUGUUGCUUACUGCAUACAUUUUUACUAAACAGUACAUUGUAAAUAGUAUGUUGUACUAUUAGUACACAGUAUGUAGUUUUAGUAAAUAGUGGGCAAGUUGGCAUUUCCAUUUAUUUAUUCAAAGCUUUACAGGUGAGGGGUAAAACCAAUCAUUUAGAAUUUACGUACAAUAUAAAACAAAUAUUAAUUCAGUGUUGUAAAAUGUCUAUUGUCAUUAUUAGAACAUAUAGGCUGAGCAGAAUGAAAUACAAGAGGACAGAUGUAAUACACCAUUACAAUACCACAUUGCAAAUCUGUACCUCAUUCAUUCCAACUAUUUAAUUUGAAAUUAAACACAUGUAUCAGAAUUCCAAUUCAAAAUAUUGUUUAAGUGCUUCUGUGUGCAGAUGCAAUUAACUUUUCUCACCACAGUGGGGAAGUACAACUCACUAUCUCUUACUGGAUUUCUCUCUGUCAGUGGAAAGUGAGAUGCCAAAGAAUGUGUCACAUUCAGCCCCUCUAAAUCCUGCUGGAUACUGUCCCCACCCUUCCUCAGAAGGGUGGGAACACCGCAAGAACUAUGGUCAGGAAAUUAAACUUAAAUACACAUCCCUAGCACAUACCUUUUAAAAGUAGGCAUUGAGAGAAAAACAUGCCUUUCGCUCAACUAUUAUAGCAUGCCCAUAAGCCUUGUUGAAAUAAGUGGUCUUUGAGCUGUUUUACUCUAGACUGGGAAAUCGGAAUAAACAAGCUCCGACUGGGAAAAUACAUUUUGAACGGUCAUCCAACUCAGAAUAGUAAAUCCGGCCUCUUUCUAGAGCUACGACUUGAAGAUCAAUGACGUCAUCAUGAUUCGGCCUUGUUUGUUUCCGAGUUCCCAGUUGUUUUGAAAACACCAUAAAUCCAGAGAAUGCCAGACUUUGAAAUUCGCAACAUUAAGACUACAAAACUACAAGGACAUUGCUCAAUGCCAAAUGUUUUGUAAGACCGAAUUGUUUCUGCAGCAAUUUUGUGGGCUGACACGAUGUUGAAUCCCACAUUGGAAUAGACCACUGGAUGAUUCUGUCUAUUACCCAUUGACAGACAUAUCCAUGGAGAUAAUUAAUAGUUUAUUAGAUUGGUUGGUGUCUGUAGCCCUGCAUGGUGCUGCAAAUGCAGUAUUUAAUUUAUUUAUAUAUACAGUACCAGUCAAAAGUUUGCACACACCUACUCAUUCAAGGGUUUUUCUUCUCUAAAUUGUAGAAUAAUAGUGAAAACAUCAAAACUAUGAAAUAACACAUGGAAUCUUGUAGUAACCAAAAAAGUGUUAAAAUAUAUUUUGAUUUGUUUAUAUUUGAGAUUCUUCAAAGUAGCCACCCUUUGCCUUGAUGACAGCUUUGCACACUCUUGGCAUUCUCUCAACCAGCUUCAUGAGGUAGUCACCUGGAAUGCAUUUCAAUUAACAGGUGUGCCUUGUUAAAAGUUAAUUUGUGGAAUUUCUUUCCUUCUUAAUGCGUUUGAGCCAAUCAGCUGUGUUAGCCCUAUUUGAUAAAAGACCAAGUACAUAUUAUGGUAAGAACAGCUCAAAUAAGCAAAGAGAAAUGACAGUCCAUUAUUACUUUAAGACAUGAAGGUCAGUCAAUCCGGGAAAUGUCAACAACUUUCUUCAAGUGCAGUCACAAAAACCAUCAAGCGCUUUGAUGAAACAGGCUUUCAUGAGGACCGCCACAGG
rnacentral:lncRNA from 1 species